GAUGAACGCUGGCGGCGUGCCUAAUACAUGCAAGUCGAGCGAACAGACGAGGAGCUUGCUCCUCUGACGUUAGCGGCGGACGGGUGAGUAACACGUGGAUAACCUACCUAUAAGACUGGGAUAACUUCGGGAAACCGGAGCUAAUACCGGAUAAUAUAUUGAACCGCAUGGUUCAAUAGUGAAAGACGGUUUUGCUGUCACUUAUAGAUGGAUCCGCGCCGCAUUAGCUAGUUGGUAAGGUAACGGCUUACCAAGGCAACGAUGCGUAGCCGACCUGAGAGCGGGGGCAGCCAGACGAUGGCGGAGACACGGACAGGGCAACGGCGGGAGGCCGCAGGGGGGAGUGUUUGGGAAGGGGCGAAGGACUGACAGAGCAAGGUCGAGUGAAAGAAGAAGGGUGUAAGUACCUAUAACUGUGUUAACAGGAAAGAAAAAAAAGGUAAGGAACAACGCGGGUCUAGACGGUACGGAAAUAGAAAGCAAAGCCUAGUUAAAUG
rnacentral:rRNA from 1 species